rnacentral:rRNA from 1 species
GAGGACCGGAGUGGACGCAUCACUGGUGUUCGGGUUGUCAUGCCAAUGGCACUGCCCGGUAGCUAAAUGCGGAAGAGAUAAGUGCUGAAAGCAUCUAAGCACGAAACUUGCCCCGAGAUGAGUUCUCCCUGACUCCUUGAGAGUCCUGAAGGAACGUUGAAGACGACGACGUUGAUAGGCCGGGUGUGUAAGCGCAGCGAUGCGUUGAGCUAACCGGUACUAAUGAACCGUGAGGCUUAACCUUACAACGCCGAAG